GGCCCGGAUGGGAGCAUGCAUUCAGCAGUCGACGGUAUGCUCGUGGAGUACCGGGUGUG
rnacentral:SRP_RNA from 1 species